UUGCCCGAAACACCAGCAGUGGCAGAUGUCCUUUGAAAUUCAGCAAUUAUUUUUUGAGUAAAAUUGAUGUUUUUUUCAAUGGCGUAGAAUCAACAUGGAGCUUGGCUGCUUCGGGCCGCCGCGCCGGUGCGUUAGCUGCAGAUUGAACAAAGCCGGUGUCAGGUAUUUCCGCGUCAAAAUCGGUUUUACGGUGGUUUCCGCGCGUGAAAAGCUCCCGAAACGAUUCGUAACAAUUUCCCGUGAAAUCUGGUGUAAUUUCUUCGAGUUAGUUUGAUGAGUAUACCAGUGUUAACCAUCACGGAUGAUGAAUAAUGGCUCUGACCUGUCACGGCCCAGAGUAGACUCUCACCUCAAGAUUCCGUCUUCCAACGGUGGACUACACGGUUCCAUUCCCCCACACAUAAUGAAUCCUCAGUAUAUGAAUGUUCAGAAAGCCCCUGACUCCAUGUCUAAAGGACUCUCAGAGUCUUUGGCUGGAGGGCUGUUAUCUGACCUGGAAGCUGCAUCAGAAUUCUCACAGCAGAGCAUGGUAGGCUCGCAGUACUACGAUGAUGACAUUCUCUCGCAAGGACUCACAGAUGACGACCGUCGACUGGCAGCAGCGCUGGUUGCUGUCCAACUCAGCAAAACUAACAACCAGGCAAAUCCCUCUCAAGCCGAUCAACAACAAGCGCAACAGCAACAAGCAUCAUCGAUGCAGCAACAGCAAAUGUUGUCCAAUGAUCUUCUUAACUCUAAGCAGCUGACAGCGAUGGCUCCUAUUGACAAGCCGCCAAUGUCUAGUAUGGUUCCUAAUUACAUGCAAAGUGUAGAUGACGCAGUUUUCCAAGAACAGUUAAACAACAUAGUCCCACCGCAAACCACAACUCUUCAGACAGCGCCUCAGACUUCAGCGUCUAAUGUGUCAGGAGUUAAGGCUGAAGUUAAAGAAGAAUAUUUCUCCCAAGUCAAAGCCGAGAAAUCGAAUGAUGAUGGUAAAGAUGACUUGGGCGACGAUAUGGGUAACGACAGCAAUGCAAAUGAGUCAAACACAUCAAGCAAUAACGACACGGACGCAAACACAACUGGACUGACUGAAGAUGGAGAUAUUGAUGGAAAGACAUCUGACGAAGAUGAGGACGGGGAUGGAAAUGAAGAAGAAGACGAGGAUGACGAUGAAGAAGAGGAAGAUUCGGACUUCGAUGGUGAAUCCAAGCAAUCACGGAAAAGCCUACCGCACAAAAAGCGUAUCCCCAAAAAAUUGAAGAGAGGAAAUACCGCUCCUAAAAGCCCCAAUAGUAAAGACAAGUCAGGCAAAAAAGACAAGUCAAAGAAAAAAGACCAAGGCUUGUCCUUAAAAUGCGAGCUCUGUACGAAAACAUUCACUCAUCAGCUGAAGUUCUUUGAACAUUUGAAAUCUCAUUACGAGCCCCUCAUCACAAUCAGCACACCUGGAACCAGUGGCAAAUCUGAAGCUGUUUCCUCUACCUCUUUGGACGAUUCCAACAACAUCACCCAGACUGAUUUCACAUCUGCUUUGGAGCUUGGCAACACAAGUGAAUCUGAAAGCCAAGUUAAAACUGAAUCCAAUGCUCCCACAUUGUCGUGUGACCAUUGCGGCAAGACUUUCCGCCGCCCGAAAGCGCUGGAGACGCACAUUGCCAUGAAUCAUGGUAAACACAAUGACAUGGAUGACUUUAGUGAGCCUGAAGACAUGAUGGAAGGUAUCAGAGAUGUUGUCGGCAUGGCAUCUGGAACUAGCGAAGGAAAGAAGAAGGAGAAACCGAAGAAGAAACGUGGAAGGCCAAGGAAAGCGGAAGUUGCUGCCAGGGAGGCUGCUAAAGCUAGAGCCAUAGCAGACGGCACUUGGCAACCCCCGCCAGAACCCGGUACCCGGAAGAGGGGAAGACCGAAGAAAACAUGGAAAGAAGCGGAUUUAGCUAGCAAAGUUUUGGCUUGCACCCUUUGCCCCGAGUAUUCACACAUCGAAACUCUCUCAUGUACCAUGUUCGUUCACAUUCCGGUCUGAGACCGCAUCAGUGUGAAGUCUGCGGUAAACGUUUCUUCGCUACAAGCGCUUAAAA
rnacentral:lncRNA from 1 species